rnacentral:rRNA from 1 species
CAGAGUACGUGAAACCGUUUAGGGGUAAACCUGAGAAACCCGAAAGGUCGAAGGGAGAAAUUCAUUCGCGUUUCGACGUAGGCGUGGGAGGGGGUCGAGCGACGGGACCCGUUCUUCGGAGCGAGUUUCGCGCCCUCCGUCCUUCGAACCGGCGGCGAACGCGUGCACUUUUCUCCUGGUAGGACGUCGCGAUCCGUCGGGUGUCGGUCUACGACUUGCGGUGGAGCCCGUUCGUCGCGUCUCGUACGUGCGAACGGACCCGCUCGUUCCGGCCGACUCGCUCGACGGUAUACAUAAGGUCGGAGGCCGCUCGCAUUUUCGAUUAAGGAGCGUUCGACGCGUCGCAAGCGCGCCACGUGAGUCGGCACGCGGACCUAGUGCCGCGUCCGACCUCUGGUGACUGUUGGCGACGACGUUCUCGGACAGACCUCUUUCGUCGUUUUUUUUAAACGGCGGAGACCGAUCGGCGACGCUAUAGCUUUGGGUACUUUCAGGACCCGUCUUGAAACACGGACCAAGGAGUCUAGCAUGUACGCGAGUCAUUGGGAAUCACUAAACCUAAAGGCGUAAUGAAAGUGAAGGUCUUCCUAGCGGAGACCGAGGGAAGACGGACGAUCGUCGAUCACCCUCAAAAGUGGGAUCGUUCCGCAUUCCCGGGGCGUCUCGUUCCCCCGCGUUCGCGCGCGGCGGGAAGAGGCGCACCAAGAGCGUACACGCUGGGACCCGAAAGAUGGUGAACUAUGCCUGGUCAGGACGAAGUCAGGGGAAACCCUGAUGGAGGUCCGUAGCGAUUCU